AACGAGUGUAAACAAGACGUCAACGUGUUUCGGUGAAACAGUGAAUCGUCGGUUACCAGUGAGCACGUGCCUUUGGAUACGGCGCCGAGUGUUUGUUACAGCUUGUGGAAAAGGGUACUGUACUCUAUUAUUUUGCUUAUAUUUUUUUUCAUUUUCGGUUCCAUUUCUAGAAUAAACUAAACAUUAAGUGAACGAAUCCUAAUUGCAGUGAUCGAAAAAAACUAGAUUUAAAACUUAAUGAUAACAAUAAGUGAAUUCGGUGAAUAAUUCAGUGAGAAAUAUCGGAUAUUGACAGCGAAGGACAACGAAACAAAGUGAAUAACAAGUGAAUACGGUGAAUAAUACAGUGAGAAAUAUCGGAUAUUGACAGCGAAGGACAACGAAACAAAAACGCUGGAGAGAGGAAAUCGCUUUGGUGACGAAGGGCUCCUCCAAGGCAGAUGGUUCAAAGUUCAUCUCCGUAAAGUGAUGUUGCAAGCGUGACUGGACUGGUUGCAGCUACAAGUUUGAAGCUACUGACUGUGUCUUAGCGUGAAGGAAAACCUCGGCGCAUCCUCGGCAGCUCAGGUUGGAGCUGUUUUCUUCAGUGGUCGGAGUCGCUGCGAAUAACUCGGAACGGUAAGUGUU